rnacentral:rRNA from 1 species
AGAGUUUGAUCCUGGCUCAGAUUGAACGCUGGCGGCAGGCUUAACACAUGCAAGUCGAACGGUAGCAGGGAGAAAGCUUGCUUUCUUUGCUGACGAGUGGCGGACGGGUGAGUAAUGCUUGGGAAUCUGGCUUAUGGAGGGGGAUAACUGCGGGAAACUGCAGCUAAUACCGCGUAUUAUCGAGAGAUGAAAGGGUGGGACCUUAGGGCCACCUGCCAUAAGAUGAGCCCAAGUGGGAUUAGGUAGUUGGUGGGGUAAAGGCCUACCAAGCCGACGAUCUCUAGCUGGUCUGAGAGGAUGACCAGCCACACUGGGACUGAGACACGGCCCAGACUCCUACGGGAGGCAGCAGUGGGGAAUAUUGCGCAAUGGGGGGAACCCUGACGCAGCCAUGCCGCGUGAAUGAAGAAGGCCUUCGGGUUGUAAAGUUCUUCCGGUAAUGAGGAAGGGGUAUUAUUGAAUAGAUAAUAUCAUUGACGUUAAUUACAGAAGAAGCACCGGCUAACUCCGUGCCAGCAGCCGCGGUAAUACGGAGGGUGCGAGCGUUAAUCGGAAUAACUGGGCGUAAAGGGCACGCAGGCGGGCUUUUAAGUGAGAUGUGAAAUCCCCGAGCUUAACUUGGGAACUGCAUUUCAGACUGGGAGUCUAGAGUACUUUAGGGAGGGGUAGAAUUCCACGUGUAGCGGUGAAAUGCGUAGAGAUGUGGAGGAAUACCGAAGGCGAAGGCAGCCCCUUGGGAAUGUACUGACGCUCAUGUGCGAAAGCGUGGGGAGCAAACAGGAUUAGAUA